rnacentral:rRNA from 1 species
AUGAGCACCGACAGCCGCUGGUGCUACAUCGUGCUCUGGGUCACCGCCUCGCGCCGGGGCCGGGCCGUGGACUGGGACGUCCUCAAGGAAGGAGAAAAGUUCAGGCUCAUACGAGCCAACGACGAUGCGACUGUUUUGGAUGCUCUCUCCUUCAGCGCUCUCAAAAUUAGACUGCUUCGCAGCUUGACGGUUGAGAAGAAAAACUAUGUUCAGGUUGAAGGCGCUAAGGUGUUGGAGACGUGCGUGUACUUGUUGAGCGUUUUAUCUGUAGAGUGA